GACGAACGCUGGCGGCGUGCUUAACACAUGCAAGUCGAACGAAGUGGCGAACGGGUGAGUAACGCGUAAUCAACCUGCCCUUCAGCGGGGGACAACAGUUGGAAACGACUGCUAAUACCGCAUACUGAAGAAGGGGCUUGCGUGUGAUUAGCUAGUUGGAGGGGUAACGGCCCACCAAGGCGAUGAUCAGUAGGCCGUCUGGGGAGGUGAACGGCCACAAUGGGACUGGGGAACGGCCCAGACUUCUACGGGAGGCAGCAGUGGGGAAUCUUCCGCAAUGGACGAAAGUCUGGCGGGGCAACGCCGGGUGAGUGAUGACGGCCUUCGGGUUGUAAAGCUCUGUUAGUCGGGACGCGGUACCGGAAUAGAAAGCCACGGCUAACUACGUGCCAGCCGCCGCGGUAAUAC
rnacentral:rRNA from 1 species